CGCCGUGAUGGGGCUGUCUUCGCCAAAGCGGGCCUGGUAGGCCCGCGAGAAGCGCCGGCUGGGUUCGGUGUCCAGCGUGGCGA
rnacentral:tRNA from 1 species